CGGCGAACGGGUGAGUAAUGCAUCGGAACGUGUCCCGGAGUGGGGGAUAACGCCGCGAAAGCGGCGCUAAUACCGCAUAUGCUCUGAGGAGGAAAGUGGGGGCUCCGCAAGGACCUCAUGCUCUGGGAGCGGCCGAUGUCCGAUUAGCUUGUUGGUGAGGUAACGGCUUACCAAGGCGACGAUCGGUAGCUGGUCUGAGAGGAUGAUCAGCCACACUGGGACUGAGACACGGCCCAGACUCCUACGGGAGGCAGCAGUGGGGAAUUUUGGACAAUGGGGGCAACCCUGAUCCAGCCAUGCCGCGUGCGGGAAGAAGGCCUUCGGGUUGUAAACCGCUUUUGGCCGGGAAGAAAAGGUUCAGGCCAAUACCUUGGAUUUUUGACGGUACCGGCAGAAUAAGCACCGGCUAACUACGUGCCAGCAGCCGCGGUAAUACGUAGGGUGCGAGCGUUAAUCGGAAUUACUGGGCGUAAAGCGUGCGUAGGUGGUUCGUUGUGUCUGUGGUGAAAGCCCCGGGCUUAACCUGGGAAUGGCCAUGGAAACUGGCGAGCUGGAGUGUGGCAGAGGGGGGUGGAAUUCCGCGUGU
rnacentral:rRNA from 1 species